ACUCCUACGGGAGGCAGCAGUGGGGAAUUUUGGACAAUGGGGGCAACCCUGAUCCAGCAAUGCCGCGUGAGUGAAGAAGGCCUUCGGUUGUAAGCUCUUUGUCAGGGAAGAAACGGUGAGGGCUAAUAUCCUUUGCUAAUGACGGUACCUGAAGAAUAAGCACCGGCUAACUACGUGCCAGCAGCCGCGGUAAUACGUAGGGGUGCAAGCGUUAAUCGGAAUUACUGGGCGUAAAGCGUGCGCAGGCGGUUAUACAAGACAGAUGUGAAAUCCCCGGGGCUCAACCUGGGAAUUGCAUUUGUGACUGUAUGGCUAGAGUGUGUCAGAGGGGGUAGAAUUCCACGUGUAGCAGUGAAAUGCGUAGAUAUGUGGAGGAAUACCGAUGGCGAAGGCAGCCCCCUGGGAUAACACUGACGCUCAUGCACGAAAGCGUGGGGAGCAAACAGGAUUAGAUACCCUGGUAGGAUAGCG
rnacentral:rRNA from 1 species